GGGUGAGUUGGCUGGUUAUCUGUCACCCUAUUGAUAGCCAGGGUUGAUCCGGCUGUCUGACUGGCUAGACCAGUGUCCCUCCCCAAGCUUCGCACUCGGUCCAAGAGGUUGACCUUCCCCAAUAGAGGAGAGGACCAUUCUUGGGUCAAGGGUAUACCAGUAGUUGCACUCCCCUGCUGGGACCCCCAAACAAGCUCUCAAGGUCCAUACUCACCAUUCAGAGAACAGACUCCUAUGGACAUUCAGAUACCACUGUGUCU
rnacentral:snRNA from 1 species